rnacentral:rRNA from 1 species
GAUGAACGCUGGCGGCGUGCCUAAUACAUGCAAGUCGAGCGAACGGACGAGAAGCUUGCUUCUCUGAUGUUAGCGGCGGACGGGUGAGUAACACGUGGAUAACCUACCUAUAAGACUGGGAUAACUUCGGGAAACCGGAGCUAAUACCGGAUAAUAUUUUGAACCGCAUGGUUCAAAAGUGAAAGACGGUCUUGCUGUCACUUAUAGAUGGAUCCGCGCUGCAUUAGCUAGUUGGUAAGGUAACGGCUUACCAAGGCAACGAUGCAUAGCCGACCUGAGAGGGUGAUCGGCCCCACUGGAGCUGAGACACGGUCCAGACUCCUACGGGAGGCAGCAGUAGGGAAUCUUCCGCAAUGGGCGAAAGCCUGACGGAGCAACGCCGCGUGAGUGAUGAAGGUCUUCGGGUCGUAAAACUCUGUUAUUAGGGAAGAACAUAUGUGUAAGUAACUGUGCACAUCUUGACGGUACCUAAUCAGAAAGCCACGGCUAACUACGU